GACGAACGCUGGCGGCGUGCUUAACACAUGCAAGUCGAACGGUGAAGCUCCAGCUUGCUGGAGUGGAUCAGUGGCGAACGGGUGAGUAACACGUGAGCAACCUGCCCCUGACUCUGGAAUAAGCGCUGGAAACGGCGUCUAAUACUGGAUACGAGAAGGGUCCGCAUGGGCACUUUCUGGAAAGUUUUUCGGUUGGGGAUGGGCUCGCGGCCUAUCAGCUUGUUGGUGAGGUAAUGGCUCACCAAGGCGACGACGGGUAGCCGGCCUGAGAGGGCGACCGGCCACACUGGGACUGAGACACGGCCCAGACUCAUACGGGAGGCAGCAGUGGGGAAUAUUGCACAAUGGGCGAAAGCCUGAUGCAGCGACGCCGCGUGAGGGAUGACGGCCUUCGGGUUGUAAACCUCUUUCAGCAGGGAAGAAGCGAAAGUGACGGUACCUGCAGAAGAAGCACCGGCUAACUACGUG
rnacentral:rRNA from 1 species